CCUACGGGAGGCAGCAGUGAGGAAUAUUGGUCAAUUGCCGGAAGGCUGAACCAGCCAAGCCGCGUGAAGGACGAAGGUGCCAAGCAUUGUAAACUUCUUUUGUCAAGGGACAAAAUCAGGCUCGAGAGCCUGACCGAUGGUACUUGAAGAAAAAGCAUCGGCUAACUCCGUGCCAGCAGCCGCGGUAAUACGGAGGAUGCGAGCGUUAUCCGGAUUUAUUGGGGUUAAAGGGUGCGUAGGCGGGCUGUUAAGUCAGCGGUAAAAGCCCGGGGCUCAACCGUAAAAUUGCAAUUGAUACUGGCAGUCUUGAGUACAGUUGAGGUAGGCGGAAUUCGUGGUGUAGCGGUGAAAUGCUUAGAUAUCACGAAGAACUCCGAUUGCGAAGGCAGCUUACUAAACUGCCACUGACAUUGAUGCUCGAAAGUGUGGGUAUCAAACAGGAUUAGAUACCCUGGUAGUC
rnacentral:rRNA from 1 species